GGGAAGGUGGCUCAGUGGUAGAGCUCUUGCCUUGCAUGCAUAAGGCCCUAGGUUCAAUUCCUCAGCACCCCA
rnacentral:tRNA from 1 species